rfam:Salmonella enterica subsp. enterica serovar Macclesfield str. S-1643 chromosome, complete genome.
AGAUUAUCCAGGAGAUAUACGAAUUAAUUCUGGCCGGUGAAAUCGAAGUCGCCAAAGGGAUGCUGCGCACGCUGAUUAAAGUCACGUGCGGUUAUCCUGCGAUUUCUGACGAGGUCGGCAGGAAUUCCAAAUCAAUUAUGCGUAUGCUGUCGCCGGAUGUGGAUCCGGGUGUCAAAGCGUUUAUGGCCGUUGUCAGAGCUGCAGAACGCCAGUCAGAGAAAGCAGCGGCCCGGGGGAAGAUCCACUGAGUCGAUAACCAACGCGACGAACCGGCCACAAUGGCCGGUUUUUUU